UCAUAUGCUUGUCUCAAAGAUUAAGCCAUGCAUGUCCAAGUAUAAGCCAUUUUUACCGUGAAACUUCGAAUGGCUCAUUAAAUCAGUUAUCGUUUAUUUGAUAGUACCUUACUACUUGGAUACCUGUGGUAAUUCUAGAGCUAAUACAUGCUAAAAACCUCGACUUCGGAAGGGGUGUAUUUAUUAGAUAAAAAACCAAUGCCCUUCGGGGCUCCUUGGUGAUUCAUAAUAACUUAACGAAUCGCAUGGCCUUGAGCCGGCGAUGGUUCAUUCAAACUUCUGCCCUAUCAACUUUCGAUGGUAGUAUAGUGGACUACCAUGGUUUCUACGGGUAACGGGGAAUUAGGGUUCUAUUCCGGAGAGGGAGCCUGAGAAACGUAAGUCAAAUCAUAUUAUUCCGAGUCCAUUGAAGCAAUUACUAACAUUAUUAACAGGGCUACCACAUCCAAGGAAGGCAGCAGGCGCGCAAAUUACCCAAUCCCGACACGGGGAGGUAGUGACAAUAAAUACUGAUCCAGGGCUCUUUUGGGUCUUGGAAUUGGAAUGAGUACAAUUUAAAUCCCUUAACGAGGAACAAUUGGAGGGCAAGUCUGGUGCCAGCAGCCGCGGUAAUUCCAGCUCCAAUAGCGUAUAUUAAAGUUGUUGCAGUUAAAAAGCUCGUAGUUGAACCUUGGGCCUGGCUGGCCGGUCCGCCUCACCGCGUGCACUGGUCCGGCCGGGCCUUUCCUUCUGGGGAGCCGCAUGCCCUUCACUGGGUGUGCCGGGGAACCAGGACUUUUACUUUGAAAAAAUUAGAGUGUUMAAAGCAGGCCUAUGCUCGGAUACAUUAGCAUGAAAUAAUCGAAUAGGASGUGGGGUUCUAUUUUGUUGGUUUCUAGGACCGCCGUAAUGAUUAAUAGGGAUGGUCGGGGGCAUCAGUAUUCAAUUGUCAGAGGUGAAAUUCUUGGAUUUAUUGAAGACGAACUACUGCGAAAGCAUUUGCCAAGGAUGUUUUCAUUAAUCAGUGAACGAAAGUUAGGGGAUCGAAGACGAUCAGAUACCGUCGUAGUCUUAACCAUAAACUAUGCCGACUAGGGAUCGGACGGUGUUCAAUUUAUGACCCGUUCGGCACCUUACGAGAAAUCAAAGUCUUUGGGUUCUGGGGGGAGUAUGGUCGCAAGGCUGAAACUUAAAGGAAUUGACGGAAGGGCACCACCAGGAGUGGAGCCUGCGGCUUAAUUUGACUCAACACGGGGAAACUCACCAGGUCCAGACACAAUUAGGAUUGACAGAUUGAUAGCUCUUUCUUGAUCUUGUGGUUGGUGGUGCAUGGCCGUUCUUAGUUGGUGGAGUGAUUUGUCUGCUUAAUUGCGAUAACGAACGAGACCUUAACCUGCUAAAUAGCCCGGCCGGCUUUGGCUGGCCGCUGGCUUCUUAGAGGGACUCUCGACGUUUAGUCGAGGGAAGUUUGAGGCAAUAACAGGUCUGUGAUGCCCUUAGAUG
rnacentral:ncRNA from 1 species